UCACUCCUUCCUGAAAACAGGGAAAUGACUCGUCAACGAGCCCCUGGAAGAUAAGUUAUAACUUCCCUACCAGGAGCUCCACUGUACCCUAGUCUCCUGCCUCUUGGUCGUCUUGGCAGUGGUAGAUUGGGGUACAGCAGAGCCCCUGGAAGUCAAGUUAAAAGCCGGUUGCCUAGAGAUGGGAGAUGAGCAAAUAAAGCUGGAAUGUACAGCAAGAAACACAAGUGGUGGCCACGAGACUCUGUACCUUCUACUGCCCAGAAAGUAAUAGAAGAUGAAUUGAGUAUGGAAAGGAAAUGGACACAGGCUGGACGAUAUCCGGACUUGGCCAGUUCAGACGAGCUCUUCCUACAGAAGAAGGAAGAAGAAGGAGGAGAUCCUGCAGGUGACUUGUGACCGGUGUCGUGGCAGUUUCUGCACUCAGCUCUGGAUCACAGCUGCAAGCAUGGGAGCCACCCCAUCAGCACAGCCAGAUCCAAAGACAAUGCCAACAUUGUAAUAAGGUAGCCUAAACAAUGGAAGAAACUGGGACAUCUGGGUGGCUCAGCGGUUGAGCAUCCACCUUCCACUCUGGUGGGAUCCCAGAGUCUCUGCAUGGGGUCCCACAUCGGGCUCCCUGCAUGGAGCCUGCUUCUCCCUCUGCCUCUCUCUCUAUGUCUCUCAUGAAUAAAUAAAUCAAGUCUUAAAAAAAAAAAAAAAGGAAUGGGAGAAACUAUUCACAAAUCAUAUAUCUGAUAAGGAUUAAUAUGCAGAACUCCUAAAAGUCAGCAACAACAAAAAUCUGAUUAAAUAUUGGGUAAAGGGCUUCAAUAGACAUUUCUACAAAGAAGAUACACAAAUAGCCAAUAAGCCCAUGAAAAAAUGCUCAACAUCACAAUGCUUCCCAACAUCACUGGGGAAAUGCAAAUCAAAACAUGUCAAGAUACCAUCUCACACCCUAGAAUGGCUACUGCCAAAAAGCCAGGAAAAUAACAUGUUGGUGAGGAUGUGUAGAAAUUGGAACACUUGCACAUUGUUUGUGGGAAUGUAAAAUGGUACAGCCACUGUGGGAAACAAUGUGGCAAUUCCUCAAAAAAUUAAAAAUGAGAUUGCCAUAUGAUCCAGCAAUUCCUAUUUUGAGUAUAUAUGCAAAAAAAAUUGAAAACAGGGUCUCAAAGAGAGAUUUGUAUAUCCAUAUUCAUGACAGCAUUAUGCACAAUAGCUAAAACUUGCAGGCAACCUAGGCACCCACUGUCAGAUGGAUGGAUAAGCAAAAUAUAGUGCAUACAUUCAAUGGAAUAUUAUUCAACCUUAAAAAGAAAAGAAAUCUUGACAUAUGCUACAACUGGAUGAACCUUAAAAAUAUUAUGUUAAGUGAAAUAAGAUAGUCACAGACAGACAAAUACUGUGUGAUUCCAUGUACGUGAAAUAUUUUAGAGUAAAUCAAAAUCAUAGACAGAAACCAUAGAUUGAUGGUUGCCAGGGGCAAGGGGAAGUAGGUGAUAGGGAGUUAUGCCAUGGGUAUAAAGUGUCAAUUUUUAAAACAAAAAGAACUAUGAGAUGGUGGUAAUGAUUGCACAUGAGUACACUUAAAAAUAUACACUUAAAAAUGGUUAAGAUGUUAAGUUUUAUGUUCUGUAUAUUUUACCACACACACAAAAAGCAAUAGCAUCAUGGGAAAAAGAAAAAAGAUUGUGUGAGUUAGAGUGUGGACCCCCGUGAGGGGGGAGAGAGGAGAGGAUUGUGUACCCCCGUGAGGGUAGGAAGAAGAGCUUGACCUGAUAAAGGUAUCAGGUAUUAUUAUUGAUAAUUGAUAUUAUCCACAUGGUGGAGAAAUAAACCCAUUUAUUUGUCUUAGUAUAGCAAAUCCACAUACCACAGCCUGGAAAAGAUUUGAAACACAGCCCUACGAGAUCUUUUGAUCUUUGAAUCAGUAUAAUGAUCUAAUUGAAUUAAUACAUUUACAAAAAGUCAUGCUGCUAUAGUAAAUUUUGAUGAUGCAUCAGAUAUGAAGCCCAGACCCUGCAAGGUAUCUUGCAUGUGGCCCUGCCUCAAACCAUUACCUUGUCAUCCUUAUGGCUCUAAUGGGAGUGUCACUUAUAUCAGUUUAAAGCCCUGUGGAGUAAAGAAGUUUCUUAAAAGGCAGAGAUUGUCAAAGUGUGGCCUGGGGGCUAAAUCUGAUCUACUCUCUGCUUUUGUAAAUAAAGUUUUAUUAGCAUACAGUCACACUCAUUUGUUUGUAUAUUAUGUAUAGCUGCUUUUGCACUGUAAUGGUAGAGCUGAGUAUCUGCAACAGAGAUCACAUGACCCACAAAACCUGAAAUAUUUGCUAUCUGAUCUUUUACAGAAAAUUUUAAAAUGCCCACCCCUAUUAUAAGGGAGUAGGGAGGAAGGAAGGAUAAAGGGGACAGGUUGGAGGCUCACUGUGGGGAUCUUGAAUGGGGAGAACAAGGUGUUUGUUCAGACUUUAUCCUUCCUUCAGUGAGGAGCCACCAUAGUACUAAGAAAAGACUAUGACAGAAAUAUAUUGAAAGAGAAUUAAUUAGUGGCUUUAUUAUUUUUUUAUUUAUUAUUAUUAGUGGCUUUAUAAAAAAUGUUGAGAAAAUGAGGGCUAAAAACAAAAGGCAGGGAGCAUGAUUAGGAGAAACCUGCAGUUAUUCAAACUGAAGUGGUUAGGGUCUGGAGCAGACACUGUUGGUUGUCUGCUACCAUUCAAACUCCAAUUUUCCGUGGCAGCAAGGCCCUGACUUUGUUAAGGUAUCUAUCCUUAUGUGACCCAGAGAAAGAUGAUCUCAUCCCUGGCUCCUGGGUAAAUCCUUGCCAACAAUUGGUUUCAGGGGUGGGUAAAUGACCCGGUUACGGCCAAUGAGACCCACAAGGUAUGCUCUGCUGGGUGUGGAAAGUGGAACUACCAUUGCUGUCUUGAUAUAAGCUUGAGUAUAGAGUCAACCACCCAGUAGAGUGGGGCCAAGAGGAUUGCAGAGAAAUAGAGACAGAGCCAUUCUACCUGUAUAUUUCUUGCUAUUUAAGAUAAUCAUCUUCCUAUUGUUUAAGCCAAUAUGAACAUCCUAACAUAAAGGCCAAGAGAGUAUCAGUAACAGAGUUCACAAAAGAAGUAGUUGGAACAAGGGAUUUGUGAAAGAGGAUUAGAUCAAAAUUGAAGCUCAGCUAUGGGAAAAAGGGAGGAGUAAAUUUGGUCCUGAGAUUUUUGUUCUGGUGACUGGGAACCUAAAAUCCAUGAACAGAAAUGGGGAAGUGAUGGGCAUGGCCCACUGUCUUUGUUUUAGUCAAGUUAUUGUCCUGUGAGGCCGAUAGACAUCCCAACAGGGGAUCUGCUUUGCAUAUUGCUACAUGACUCUACUCCAAACCUGAGAACAUGAGACAAAGUUUAUUUGAUCCUACAGUACUGUAGCUGUGAGCAAACACUUUAGGAAUGCAGUUUUAUGCAAUAUUUUUUUUUAUUAUAGGUAUUUAAGUUAUAAUAGAAAGGAUGUAUUGAGAAAGGAUGUAUUGUCCCAUAGUGGUGGUUAGAUUGGAAUAAAAUCACUUCCUUGUAGAAUUCAAAUACCCAUUUUUUUUCAGGGUGAGAGAGCAAAAUAUUUUUCUAAAAUUAGAGUUCACUGAAUUUAUAGUAGAAAAAAUACAUUUAGGUAUGCAUAAGUAAGUGUAACUUAAUUUAUUUUUAAAAAAUAUACUAAAUUCUAUGUUCAUCUACUUUUGAAAUAAUGCACAAGGAAGAGAAGAUAUCCAAUAAACCAGUAAAUGGUGGGUAUGUUUUUAUACUUUUAUAAAGAGACAAACACAUUUAUUCAGACUGAAUAAAGAUUUGGGGUGAAAAUGGGUAAAACAGUAGGAGACAGAGAUGCAGUAUCUUUUCAUUGCAUGAAUCCCCCCAGCUGUCACGGUAAUAGCCAGGACUGCAAGUAAAAAUCACGACCUCAAGCAUUGUCCUAGUUCCAAGAGGAAAAUUUCAAACUCAUUAAUACUGCUCUAACAACAUUUUCUAGACAGAAACAAAAUAAAACAAAAACCAAAAAAACAAACAGGUUGAUCAAUGUAACAGAACAGAGUCCAGGAAUAGAUAAAUAGAUACAUAGAUAUAGAUACAGUCAACUGGUUUAUUGAUAAAAUGACACUGCAAUACAGUAAGGGAAAAGAUGGUCUUUUCAAUAAAUGGUGUAGGGACAACUGGUUAUCCAUAUAAUUUUGUAAAAAUGUACUUUAACCCCCUACCUCACAUGAUGUGUAAAAAAAUUAAUUUCAGAAGGACCGCAGACCUAAAUGUGAAAAAUAGUCACUAUUUAGAAGAAAACAUGGAAAGAGGUCUACUUAAUGUUGGAGCAGGCAAAGUUUGGUUAAACGGGACCCACAAAAAAAUAAAGGGAAAAAUUGAGUAAAACACAAGACAAGAGGAUAAAGUGCCUGACAAAUUCAACACCACAAAGAGGAAUGGAGUAAGCUCAGUCAGAAUCCUUCCUUGUACUUCACAAAGAAUGUUGUCAUGCAAACGAGGGACACCGUACAAACGAACAUGUACAAAAGGGAGGUGUUAGAUGCUGAGCUAUAAAUCUAGCAGACAGAAGCUGCCUCCUCUCCCCAUCCUCAAAGCUCUCAGGAUGCUACACUCCAGGCCAUCUCUAAAUCUCCUCGGGCUAUGGGAGGAGUUCUCAUCUUACAGUUGUGAGGCAGUUCUAACAGCCAGCAUUCCUUAAAGUGAGAAGAGUUUAUGGCUGACAGAAAGUGACUGCCAGGACUACACCAAGAAGCAACAGGAAAGGUCCCAGAAUCAUGAAAUGAGUCCUCUCACUUGCUGGAACGGGCAGUCGUUCUGAAAAACAAAAGGAAAUAAAAAGAAAUGAAAGUUUGAACAUCUUGGACAUCUGAUCAUUGGUACUUCUCGGCAAUCUGUCUUGGCUCCGUGCGGGAAGAAUGGCACGAAGAUGCUCAGAGACUGCUAACUCCCACCUCUCUCCAUUGGUCCUGAUCCCUGACUACCUCGUUCAAGCUCUGAAGUAAAAACAGUGGUCAACCGCCCAUCCACUAGCAGUUUACAGCUUACAAAGCCCAUUUAUAUUCUUUUUAUUUCAAUCUCAGAAUAAGUUCAGUUAGGUAUGCAAAAUAUUUUUUUAAAAAUCCGAGGUUAUAGAUGAGGAAACAGACCCCAAGCAAUUAGGUGAAUUACUAAGUCUUCCCACAAAUAAUUUGUCAUAAAACAACUUUUAAGUGGCAGGAACCCACAAAUGCAGCCCCUACUGAAGUGACUCACAACCCAGUGAGAACAUCUCUAAGUUUCUAAAUGUUUUUUCACUCUUUUCAUUCAUGGGACCAUCUUGUAUUGCUUUUCCUUGCCACCCGAUUUCUAUUCUUUUUUUUUUUUUUAAGAUUAUUUAUUUAUUCAUUCAUGAGAGACACAGAGAGAGAAGAAGACAUAGGCAGAGGGAGAAGCAGGCUCCCUGUGGGGAGCCCGAUGUGGGACUCGAUCCUGGACCUGGGGAUCACACCCUGAGCCGAAGGCAGAUACUCAACCAUUCAUUGAGCCACCCAGGCAUCCCUCCACCCAUUUUCUCAGUUGUUUUUUCUGAAGCAUCUGAAGCUUUACUGGCAACAUCAUUGAGAAGUGCUUCUCAGAACACCUCUGUUGUGUUAACAUCAUGCUCUCCUGCCUUACUUUCUCUAAAGGUCUCAGCCUCUCAUCACUCUGUAUCCCACCUUACCCACUCUGGUAGGGUAGUAAGAAAAACAAUAAUUGAGUCUAUGCAGGGAAGAGUCUCAAAUCAUUUUCAUACACUGUAGCUCACUGGCGCCUAUAAUAACCUUGCCUGGUAGGUUAUAACUGUUAUAACUAGGGAAAAUGAAGCACUCAGAAGCUGAGUGGCUUAUGCAGAGACCAGAGCCUUCCAUCUUACACACUAAAUUGACUGCUUUGCGUUGAAAUGUCACAGUCUAUCUUGGGGGUACAGUUGACAGACGGGGACAAUGGAUCUUUCCUAUUUAGAGUAAGAUAGAAAAGUAUGUUCUAUUCGCUUGCUACCCCAGAAACCCUGGAAAGAAAGGAGCAGCUCUGAUGUGCUCGGAUCUGGAUUCCUGAAACACUGCCUGAGCUGUCUUCCUCUGGGGUACUCCCCCAGGUCCCCGCCCGCCACAAAAGCAUUUCCUACAUGGGAUAGGAUUGCCUUAUCUGUUUAUCUGUUUCCUGGAGAAUGUCAACAGUGUCUAACUCUUCUAUGAGCCCCUGAUGCCUGGCACAUAGGGCAUAUCCAGUAAAAUAUUUGCUGAAUGUUUAUUAAACAGCAAUAGGACUUGGAUGAAUGGGGAUAAGGAAUCAUUUUGUAAAUACAGUGUCAUUCAUGCAUUCACUUAUUUAACAAACGAUGGAUGCCUAGAAUGAACAUGCAUCAUGCUAGAGUCCAGGGAACAGCAGUAGGCACAUUUGUAUUGAGGCAUUCAGAAUAUUACCUGGGAUGACCAACUCGGCAGUAUUGUUUUCCUCAGGACCUGAUCUUUGAAAAGUGCAGUAGAAAAUCUCAUUAGCUGUUGCAUUGAUGUUCAGCGUGCUGGUCACAUUGAAAAGCUUCUCUUCCCUAUUGGAAUUAGUGAUGGUGGUUUUGCCACUCAGGACUCGGUGGUCACUGCUUGUCCAGAUGACUUCAGCCUCAGGGUAACCCUCAGCCUGACACAUUAGUUCAUGUUCAGAGGUGACAGGAUCCACAGAAAUUCUUUGGCUGAUGUUGCGGUACGGGGCUAGAUCAUGAGCAAAAAGAGGUCAGGGCUUUCAUUUAGGACAAAAUUAGGCAUGUGGCUUGGUGUCGUCUACAUUAGGAAAAGUAUCAAUUCAGGUGGGUUCUCAAGAGAAAUAAGCUGAUGUUCAGAAGUCUCAGCAGUGAGGAACCUCUAUUCUGCUUCAACUCGCCCAUUCAUAGUUGGGCUACAUUUGAGCUCAAAGGAACAAUUACCUACCUUGCUAUGAAAACCAUAUUGCUAUUUUUAUCAAGCUCCAAGUAUAAACACAUAGGUUAAAGAGAAUUGUCAUCUCUAAACCAAUAGUCUUUCUAUCCAAAUACAAAAUAUGUCUGCCAUUUGUUCAAGUCUCUGUAUCUUUCUCCUAAAGCUUUAUAGUUUUUACAUAGGGCUAACCCAUUUCUUCUUAAAUUUAUUCCUGGAUAUUUUCUUUUUGUUAUUGUAAUGCUGUUUUUGUAACAUGAACCUUUCCAGCUGGCCAGCACAGUUUCCUUAGACUUUAUUUAAUAAUCAGAAAAGCUGAUUUUCACAUGCCAUUCACUUUUUCAACUAUGGGUCAAUCAAUGAUCAGAAAUUCGGUAUGAAAAGGGUAUGAAGUAUAGUAUCAUUGUAAAAACUGAUACGUGUUCCUGGAUAAUACUAUUUAAAGUUUAAGUUUAUUUUUUACUUCAGAAUAGUUUUAAGAUUUCCAGAUAAGUGGCAAAGAUAGUACAGAGUCCCCACAUACCUAUCACCCAAUUACUUUCUAUUAACAUCAGAGUUAAUCAUCAGUAGAAUAUGAUGUUAAUAAUACAUCUAUUAACAUCAUGUUAACUUUCUGUUAACAUCUUCUAUUACCAUGGUGCAUUUGUCAUACUAAGGAACCAAUGUUUAUAUAGUACUAUUAACUGUACUUUGCUCACACUUUGCUCCAUUUCACUUGUUUUUCCCUAAUGUCCUUUUUUCUAUUCCAGGAUCUCAUCUAGAAUACCACAUUAUAAUACUUACUUUUUGAACUUUUUAUACUGGCUAUUUGAAUAAAUCAUUUAAAUAAUUAUUAUACUUAAGAAAGAAAGUUUGAAUUUUAUUUUAUUUUUUUUAAUU